GACGAACGCUGGCGGCGCGCCUAACACAUGCAAGUCGAACGGAGUUAUUUCAGCAGAAGCUUUCGGGUGGACGCAGGGAUAACUUAGUGGCGAACGGGUGAGUAACACGUGAGGAACCUGCCCUGGAGUGGGGGAUAACAGUUGGAAACGACUGCUAAUACCGCAUAAGCCCACGACCCGGCAUCGGGUUGAGGGAAAAGGAGCAAUCCGCUUUGAGAUGGCCUCGCGUCCGAUUAGCUAGUUGGUGAGGUAACGGCCCACCAAGGCGACGAUCGGUAGCCGGACUGAGAGGUUGAACGGCCACAUUGGGACUGAGACACGGCCCAG
rnacentral:rRNA from 1 species